rnacentral:rRNA from 1 species
GGUGCGUAACACGUAUGCAAUCUGCCCUGUACAGGAGGAUAGCUCCCCGAAAGGGGAAUUAAUACUCCGUAAUAUGAUUGUGAGGCAUCUCACGAUUAUUAAAGCUGAGGCGGUACAGGAUGAGCAUGCGCAUGAUUAGUCAGUUGGCGGGGUAACGGCCCACCAAGACGAUGAUCAUUAGGGGAACUGAGAGGUUGAUCCCCCACACUGGCACUGAGAUACGGGCCAGACUCCUACGGGAGGCAGCAGUAGGGAAUAUUGGACAAUGGGUGCGAGCCUGAUCCAGCCAUGCCGCGUGCAGGAAGACGGCCUUCUGGGUUGUAAACUGCUUUUGCCAGGGGAUAAAACGGCUCUGCGGAGCUAAUUGAAGGUACCUGGUGAAUAAGCCACGGCUAACUACGUGCCAGCAGCCGCGGUAAUACGUAGGUGGCAAGCGUUGUCCGGAUUUAUUGGGUUUAAAGGGUGCGUAGGUGGUUCCAUAAGUCAGUGGUGAAAUACGGCAGCUUAACUGUCGAGGUGCCAUUGAUACUGCGGAACUUGAGUACAGACGAGGUAGGCGGAAUUGACGGUGUAGCGGUGGAAUGCUUAGAUAUCGUCAAGAACACCGAUAGCGAAGGCAGCUUACUAGACUGUAACUGACACUGAGGCACGAAAGUGUGGGGAUCAAACAGGAUUAGAUACCCUGGUAGUCCACACUGUAAACGAUGAUUACUCGAUGUUGGCGAUACACGGCCAGCGUCUUAGCGAAAGCGAUAAGUAAUCCACCUGGGGAGUACGCCCGCAAGGGU